AUGUAGUGACCGGGGUUCGGUGGGUGAAGUGCUUGGGCAGGAGGACCUGAGUUAGGGUCUCCAGCUCCCGAGUGAGAGCCGAGCGUGGGUGGGGCACACGACUGCAAGCCCGGCGCCGGGGAGGCAGAGACCGGGAUCUUUGGAGUUACUUGGCCAGUCAGUCUGGCUGCCGUGGUCUCCCUAUGUAUCCUCUUGCUGGCCUGGAACUCACGGAGGGAGACAUGCCUGCCUUUGCUUCUGAGUGCCGGGAUGAGAGUGUGCUUCCUAUACCCAGCUAGCUUCAGCUCCACACGAGGAGGACUUGAAACGGGGCCUGGAAUGAUGGACUGUUCCAUCCCAUCAAAGCCGGUCUCCUGGUGGUUCAGCCUGGAGGGGAUUUAUACGAGCCAGUAGCAACAGGGCCGAGCUGUGAGAAUGGAAAUGUAGGGAGACUGACGCCUAUCAAUCAUCUGACUGUGUUCUCGCCUGCUUUGAUGUCCUGGACCUGGCUGUGGGAGCAGAGGGCGCCUGCCGGCCCCUCAGAAUGGAAAUGUAAAGGAAUGGGUAUUUUUAGGAAAGUCACUUUCUGUAACACAUCCGGAGUUCUUCUAAAGGUGUUUUUAGCUCUGCAAA